rnacentral:rRNA from 1 species
UACAGAGGUCUCAAGCGUUGUUCGGAUUCAUUGGGCGUAAAGGGUGCGUAGGUGGCGCCGUAAGUCAGGUGUGAAAUUUCGGAGCUUAACUCCGAAACUGCAUUUGAUACUGCGGUGCUUGAGGACUGGAGAGGAGACUGGAAUUUACGGUGUAGCAGUGAAAUGCGUAGAGAUCGUAAGGAAGACCAGUGGCGAAGGCGGGUCUCUGGACAGUUCCUGACACUGAGGCACGAAGGCCAGGGGGAGCAAACGGGG